rnacentral:rRNA from 1 species
CCUACGGGUGGCAGCAGUGAGGAAUAUUGGUCAAUGGGCGAGAGCCUGAACCAGCCAAGUCGCGUGAGGGAGUACUGCCCUAUGGGUUGUAAACCUCUUUUGUCGGGGAGCAAAAGCCGGACGUGUCCGGCUGUGAGAGUACCCGAAGAAAAAGCAUCGGCUAACUCCGUGCCAGCAGCCGCGGUAAUACGGAGGAUGCGAGCGUUAUCCGGAUUUAUUGGGUUUAAAGGGUGCGUAGGCGGAUUGAUAAGUUAGAGGUGAAAUGUCCGAGCUUAACUCGGGAACUGCCUCUAAUACUGUUGAUCUAGAGAGUAGAUGCGGUAGGCGGAAUGUAUGGUGUAGCGGUGAAAUGCUUAGAGAUCAUACAGAACACCGAUUGCGAAGGCAGCUUACCAAUCUAUAUCUGACGUUGAGGCACGAAAGCGUGGGGAGCAAACAGGAUUAGAUACCCCAGUAGUC